rnacentral:rRNA from 1 species
UACGGGGGGGGGCAAGCGUUGUUCGGAAUUACUGGGCGUAAAGGGCUCGUAGGCGGCCAACUAAGUCAGACGUGAAAUCCCUCGGCUUAACCGGGGAACUGCGUCUGAUACUGGAUAGCUUGAGAUUGGGAGAGGGAUGCGGAAUUCCAGGUGUAGCGGUGAAAUGCGUAGAUAUCUGGAGGAACACCGGUGGCGAAGGCGGCAUCCUGGACCAACACGUGACGCUGAGGAGCGAAAGCCAGGGGAGCAAACGGG